rnacentral:lncRNA from 1 species
AGUCACUUAUCCUUGUUUCGAACAUACCCUCUGAGAUAGUCUUGGUGGAUGAGUUUCUCAAUCACAUCCUUUAGCUGGCAACACUCCUCGAUGUCGUAGUCGUGGUUUCGAUAGAAGUGAUAAUAUUUCUUCUUAUUUCUCUAGUCUGUAUGUGCUCUCAUCUUUGGAGGCCAACAUAUGAUGUCUUUUCCUUCGAUCUCCAUGAGGAUUUGGGCAUGUGGGGUAGAGAGAGGAGUGUAGUCACUGAAGCAAUAUGGAGGGCUUUUCGCCCUCUUUUGUUUCUGGGUGUGGCUGCCCCCUCAUUUUUUUGGGGCUCCAUGAUCAUCAUCAUG